rnacentral:rRNA from 1 species
UACGGGGGGGGCAAUCGUUGUUCGGAAUUACUGGGCGUAAAGGGCUCGUAGGCGGCCAACUAAGUCAGACGUGAAAUCCCCAGGCUCAACCUGGGAACUGCGUCUGAUACUGGAUGGCUUGAAUCCGGGAGAGGGAUGCAGAAUUCCAGGUGUAGCGGUGAAAUGCGUAGAUAUCUGGAGGAAUACCGGUGGCGAAGGCGGCAUCCUGGACCGGCAUUGACGCUGAGGAGCGAAAGCCAGGGGAGCAAACGGG